CUCGUUACCUCAGGGGCUGACGUUAUACAAUGAAUAACGUCAGGGUUAAAAUCCCGUUUCUGCUGAGCAAAUGAAUGAACUUGGCUUCCAGUCGGGGGUUUACUUUGGACCCCGCACACACUGUGUACACAACUUAAACUUAUUCCACCAACUCUGCUCCGGUCACGUCUACACAUCUGCUUCCUCUUUCUCUUUUGUGCCCAUUUUCCACACACACACACACACACGCACACAUACACGCACUGAGCUCUCUUAAAGGAGCUGCAGCACCAUUUUACAACAAAUGCCUUAU